UAGAGUUUGAUCAUGGCUCAGGAUGAACGCUGGCGGCGUGCUUAACACAUGCAAGUCGAACGUGAACCUGAUUUCGAUCAGGGGAAAGUGGCGAACGGGUGAGUAACACGUUGGUGACCUGCCCCGUGGAGGGGGAUAACUCCUCGAAAGAGGAGCUAAUACCCCGGAUGUCGCGUUUUUGGACAAACGCAGACUAAAAGGAGAAAUCCGCCGCGGGAGGGGCCUGCGGGCUAUCAGCUAGUUGGUGGGGUAACGGCUCACCAAGGCGAAGACGGCUAGGGGGCGUGAGAGCGCGACCCCCCACAAUGGAACUGAGACACGGUCCAUACUCCUACGGGAGGCAGCAGUGAGGAAUAUUGCCCAAUGGGGGAAACCCUGAGGCAGCAACGCCGCGUGAACGAUGACGGCCUUCGGGUUGUAAAGUUCUUUUCUGGGGGACGAUGAUGACGGUACCCCAGGAAUAAGUCCCGGCUAACUACGUGCCAGCAGCCGCGGUAAAACGUAGGGGGCGAGCGUUAUCCGGAUUUACUGGGCGUAAAGCGCACGCAGGCGGCUGAUCAAGUUGGACGUGAAAGCUCCCGGCUUAACUGGGAGAGGUCGUACAAAACUGAUCGGCUGGAGGCUGAGAGAGGAGAGCAGAAUUCCCGGUGUAGUGGUGGAAUGCGUAGAUAUCGGGAGGAAUACCAGUGGCGAAAGCGGCUCUCUGGCUCAGAACUGACGCUGAGGUGCGAAAGCGUGGGGAGCGAACGGGAUUAGAUACCCCGGUAGUCCACGCUGUAAACGAUGAUCACUCGUUGUUGGCGAUAUACUGUCAGCGACUGAGCGAAAGCAUUAAGUGAUCCACCUGGGGAGUACGGCGGCAACGUUGAAACUCAAAGGAAUUGACGGGGGCCCGCACAAGCGGAGGAGCAUGUGGUUUAAUUCGAUGAUACGCGAGGAACCUUACCUGGGCUUAAAUGUAGGACGACGUUUCGUGAAAGCGGAAUUUCCUUCGGGACGUCUUACAAGGUGCUGCAUGGUUGUCGUCAGCUCGUGCCGUGAGGUGUCGGGUUAAGUCCCAUAACGAGCGCAACCCCUAUUCUUAGUUGCCAUCAGGUAAUGCUGGGAACUCUAAGAAAACUGCCUACGCAAGUAGUGAGGAAGGUGGGGAUGACGUCAAAUCAGCACGGCCCUUAUGUCCAGGGCGACACACGUGCUACAAUGGUCGGUACAGAGGGUUGCUACCAGGUGACUGGAUGCUAAUCUCAAAAGCCGGUCUCAGUUCGGAUUGAAGUCUGCAACUCGACUUCAUGAAGUUGGAUUCGCUAGUAAUCGCGCAUCAGCCAUGGCGCGGUGAAUACGUUCCCGGGCCUUGUACACACCGCCCGUCAAGCCAUGGGAGUUGGGGGUACCUGAAGUCCGUAACCGCAAGGAGCGGCCUAGGGUAAAACCAAUGACUGGGGCUAAGUCGUAACAAGGUAGCCGUA
rnacentral:rRNA from 1 species